rnacentral:rRNA from 1 species
UACGGGGGGGGUAAGCGUUGUUCGGAAUUACUGGGCGUAAAGGGCUCGUAGGCGGCCAACUAAGUCAGACGUGAAAUCCCUCAGCUUAACUGGGGAACUGCGUCUGGUACUGGAUGGCUUGGAUUCGGGAGAGGAAUGCGGAAUUCCAGGUGUAGCGGUGAAAUGCGUAGAUAUCUGGAGGAACACCGGUGGCGAAGGCGGCAUUCUGGACCGAUAUUGACGCUGAGGAGCGAAAGCCAGGGGAGCGAAACGGG